rnacentral:ncRNA from 2 species
AACGCAGAAAAAGGGAGCCUGCAAAAGCAGGCUGAGAGUGGGCUGUUUGCCCAGACCUGUGACCUGAUUUGGACAAUGCCAACGUAGGGAGAUACUGCUGCUUCAAAG